GGCAUGAGCAUCUUUAUGUCUUUCUGCGAGGCAUCCUUCUCGCUUCUGCCCGAGCAGGAGGGUGGCUCUUUGGAAGGGUGCUGAAGGCUCUCGGUUCGCUCGUUUCGGCUCUUUUCCCCUCAAAAAGAAAGCGGGUCAAGGGGGGAAAAGCGACUUCCCCGUCAGGGUGCGGAGCGCGGCCGCGCUCGUCCCCGCGGGUCCCCAGGUACUGGCGUUGGGAGCGAGCGCUGCCUUCUCUGAAAAGUUAGGGGACUUUAUUCCAGCCCGACUGCGAUCCUAGAAUAACCGGAGCCGCUCGCCGGGAGGAACGUGAUCGGCUUUUCCCAGGGGAUGGCAUGCUGCCUCAACCCUGUACUUUGGUCAAGGGUAGAACCAAUAGCGAGCUGUGGGAUUUUGGGUAAUAAGUGUGGGAAUCUGCAAGAGGAGUAGGUCUAAGAGUGAUUUGUUUUCUUUCUGCUCAUGAAUAAUGGCCUAGAGCUUUUUUUUUUUUUUUUUUUUUUUUUUAAAAAAAAAUUUGUAGGCGUUCAACAUCGCAGUCAUCAUCAUCAACAACAGCAAUACAGUAGGGAUGUCCAGGAGAAUGGUGUCUGAUGAGAACUGUUUUCUCUGAGAGGCUGGUAUCACAUGCUGGCACAGCCUUCCCCUUGCUGAUGACCGGGUUCCUGUUUGAUCCUGUUUACAAGCUUUCGAAGAUUGAAAAGAACCCCAACUCCUCUGCAUUGGAACAAACUGGAGCAGAGAGUGCCUGUUUCAAAGUGCACUGUAUGAAGAUGCUGCUGUCUCAAGAAAAGAGAGUCACCGGAGUGUAGAACUCAACCCACUUGGUUUUUCUGGACUACCUUCAGCCUUAACUGACUUCAAGGGAGGAGGAGAUACAUUAAACUAGAGAGAUUGUGCAGUACUAACAUUUGGAUGUCUGUUUCGAUAAUUUUUUUAAGGAAGAGAGACCCAACUAUUUCUCCACAAAAAAAAAAAUUCUGUCAAAUAUAUUUCUUUGAAAAGGAAUUCAAUUUCAGGCAGUUGUGGCAAAGUGUAUAGUAUUCACUGUGGUAAUCUGGCUCUGAUUUUGCAAAGGGUUGGCAAGUUCACAUGUUGGUUUGUGCAUCUGAAUUGUCUCUCUAGCUUCAGCAAGACUACUGAUGUGCAGAGUUAUAGGCUUGAGAAGCCUCUGUAAGAUGCAAGCCUCAGAUUUUACACUGGGGAAGAAUAAUGUCAAAUUUGUAAUUAAAAAUCUUCAGGACAGGCAAGUUUCUGAGCAUGUGCAGUAUCCUUUUUGUGAACCUCAGGAUCUCAGCUGGUUUUGGUGAAAAACACAGAAAGCAAUUAGCUUGCAUCUUAGAGGCUAAUAAUAACUGAACCUUUUGGCAGAUUUUGUGAUGGGAUGAUUCUCUUGGUGUUAUAAGCCAAAUGAAUUAAUAAAACAGAUUUUUAAGAAUCA
rnacentral:lncRNA from 1 species